rnacentral:rRNA from 1 species
UAGGGAAUCUUCCGCAAUGGGCGAAAGCCUGACGGAGCAACGCCGCGUGAGUGAUGAAGGUCUUCGGAUCGUAAAACUCUGUUAUUAGGGAAGAACAAAUGUGUAAGUAACUAUGCACGUCUUGACGGUACCUAAUCAGAAAGCCACGGCUAACUACGUGCCAGCAGCCGCGGUAAUACGUAGGUGGCAAGCGUUAUCCGGAAUUAUUGGGCGUAAAGCGCGCGUAGGCGGUUUUUUAAGUCUGAUGUGAAAGCCAACGGCUCAACCGUGGGGGGUCAUUGGAAACUGGAAAAAUUGAGUGCAGAAGAGGAGAGUGGAAUUCCAGGUGGAGCGGUGGAAUGCGCAGAGAUAUGGAGGAACACCAGGGGCGAAGGGGACUUUCUGGUCUGUAACUGACGCUGAUGUGCGAAAGCGUGGGGAUGAAACAGG